GACAGAGGCCCCAAGCGUUAGGCGGAAUCACUGGGCUUAAAGCGUGUGUAGGCGGACGCCUAAGUGUCUUGUGAAAUCCCACGGCUCACCCGUGGAACUGCUGGGCAUACUGGGCGUCUUGGGCCAACUAGGGGCAGCCGGAACAAGCGGUGGAGCGGUGAAAUGUGUAGAUAUCGCUUGGAACGCCGAAGGUGAAAACAGGCUGCUGGGGUUGCGCCGACGCUGAGACACGAAAGCCAGGGGAGCAAACGGG
rnacentral:rRNA from 1 species